rnacentral:lncRNA from 1 species
AUAUAUAUAUACCUAAAAGGAAGGUGUCAAACACGGAGCUGCGUUUGAUGACAAAUGAAAUAGGGUUUUAGCAGUUAAAGUACAAACAAUUGUUACAUUGUAUUUGCGGUUUUUAUAAUCAAUUUCUUUGAUAAUCGAAUUUCCAAAGCAUCCCUAACGGACUUACUCACUUUCACAAUUUCAUCAUGGCACGGGCCAAGAAAACAGUCAAGGUGAGAUUCUUUCUUAAUG